UGGAGCCCAGUGACUUUUCCAGAGUCUCUGACGGUUCAGCGAGCUGCUCACCGGCCUCCUUUCCUGAGGUUAUCCAGGGCCUUGUCACAUGCUGUUCCCUCUGCUGGGAUCGCACUUCCUCACAUCGAACUCUGCUCCCGAUGGCCUGCUGCACGGUGAGUGCAGUCACCCUGCUGGCUCCAGAGCCUAGAACAAGAUGAUCAGACCACUCAGUCCCCAAGCCCGUGGCCCUUGGCACAGUGGGUCUUAAUCGUGCUCUAAGGUAUCUCCUCCCUGGUGCCAAAUGGCAUCUACAGAGCGGCUGUGCAUUUCCUCAUCUGCAAACUCCAUUGCUGUUUACAGAAGUGAUAUAAUGGACAUUUCAGAGUGACCGCCAGGCUCCAGGUAUCAUGCGCUUGCAGGGUCACAGGUAUGGAAGACAAUUUGUUCCCAACUAGUUUCCAUAUCAUUAAUGCCUCUUUCUCCUGCUUACACUGGGAUUCGCGGGUGCCAUAGUGCCCCAUCCACAGCUCCCUGCUCAGCUGCAUUUCUCCUGCAGACUGGGGAUUGCAUUUGCUAGUGGGGCAUGAGCUUGAUCUUACUGUGCUGCCCAAAGGAGCAUCGGUGGCUUCUCCACUGUCACCGUGAGUGCGGAAUGUUUGUGGUAGACCACCGUCAAGCCCAGGCUGGGGGCAGGCAGUGCAGGCAGGAGGAAAUAGUUUCUAUUUUUAAUGUGUCAAGUGAAGGAGCUAAAAGCAGAAGGGGGAAAUCUCUGACCAGCCCUUCUGCCCCCGAGUUUCUCAGCUUCAGCUACUAAGGGACUUAAAAUCUUACUCAUUAGACUUUCCAUGGGAAGCUCUGAGGUUCUCAUGCUCCUCUGCGGAGUUUGAGGCUCCCUCGUCCCCAGGGUGUGGGACCACCAGGGCAGCCGACUACUCAACAAGGAGGGAGGCACACGGCAUCGGGUGUGCUCAAAAGGGAUGGAGGUUCUGAGGGAAAAACUGCACACGUGGAAAGGCUGACUUGGGUUCCAUUCCCCAUGCCCAAGGGCCAUAUUGUGAAUCUCUUUUGACCUAAUGCCGGACGAUAGCAUUCUGAUCCACCGUGACCUCCCUGCACUGUAUCCUAUGGAGUACGUGUGGCAGAGGUAACCACCUGCCUUUCCAGCAGCCGCUGCUUCCC